AGUCGAGCGGACAGAUGGGAGCUUGCUCCCUGAUGUUAGCGGCGGACGGGUGAGUAACACGUGGGUAACCUGCCUGUAAGACUGGGAUAACUCCGGGAAACCGGGGCUAAUACCGGAUGGUUGUCUGAACCGCAUGGUUCAGACAUAAAAGGUGGCUUCGGCUACCACUUACAGAUGGACCCGCGGCGCAUUAGCUAGUUGGUGAGGUAACGGCUCACCAAGGCGACGAUGCGUAGCCGACCUGAGAGGGUGAUCGGCCACACUGGGACUGAGACACGGCCCAGACUCCUACGGGAGGCAGCAGUAGGGAAUCUUCCGCAAUGGACGAAAGUCUGACGGAGCAACGCCGCGUGAGUGAUGAAGGUUUUCGGAUCGUAAAGCUCUGUUGUUAGGGAAGAACAAGUGCCGUUCAAAUAGGGCGGCACCUUGACGGUACCUAACCAGAAAGCCACGGCUAACUACGUGCCAGCAGCCGCGGUAAUACGUAGGUGGCAAGCGUUGUCCGGAAUUAUUGGGCGUAAAGGGCUCGCAGGCGGUUUCUUAAGUCUGAUGUGAAAGCCCCCGGCUCAACCGGGGAGGGUCAUUGGAAACUGGGGAACUUGAGUGCAGAAGAGGAGAGUGGAAUUCCACGUGUAGCGGUGAAAUGCGUAGAGAUGUGGAGGAACACCAGUGGCGAAGGCGACUCUCUGGUCUGUAACUGACGCUGAGGAGCGAAAGCGUGGGGAGCGAACAGGAUUAGAUACCCUGGUAGUCCACGCCGUAAACGAUGAGUGCUAAGUGUUAGGGGGUUUCCGCCCCUUAGUGCUGCAGCUAACGCAUUAAGCACUCCGCCUGGGGAGUACGGUCGCAAGACUGAAACUCAAAGGAAUUGACGGGGGCCCGCACAAGCGGUGGAGCAUGUGGUUUAAUUCGAAGCAACGCGAAGAACCUUACCAGGUCUUGACAUCCUCUGACAAUCCUAGAGAUAGGACGUCCCCUUCGGGGGCAGAGUGACAGGUGGUGCAUGGUUGUCGUCAGCUCGUGUCGUGAAAUGUUGGGUUAAGUCCCGCAACGAGCGCAACCCUUGAUCUUAGUUGCCAGCAUUCAGUUGGGCCCUCUAAGGGGACUGGCCCGG
rnacentral:rRNA from 2 species